rnacentral:rRNA from 1 species
UACAGAGGGUGCGAGCGUUGUCCGGAAUUACUGGGCGUAAAGGGCGCGUAGGCGGCUUGAUAAGUAGGGGGUGAAAUUUCGAGGCUCAACCUCGAAACGGCCUUCUAAACUGUCUGGCUGGAGCACGGUAGAGGCAGAUGGAAUUCCCGGUGUAGCGGUGGAAUGCGUAGAGAUCGGGAAGAACACCAGUGGCGAAGGCGGUCUGCUGGGCCGUUGCUGACGCUGAUGCGCGACAGCGUGGGGAGCAAACAGG